rnacentral:rRNA from 1 species
UACGGAGGGAGCUAGCGUUGUUCGGAAUUACUGGGCGUAAAGCGCACGUAGGCGGCUUUGUAAGUUAGAGGUGAAAGCCCGGGGCUCAACCCCGGAAUUGCCUUUAAGACUGCAUCGCUAGAAUUGUGGAGAGGUAAGUGGAAUUCCGAGUGUAGAGGUGAAAUUCGUAGAUAUUCGGAAGAACACCAGUGGCGAAGGCGACUUACUGGACACAUAUUGACGCUGAGGUGCGAAAGCGUGGGGAGCAAGCAGG